CUCGCUCAGGCGCCCACCGCCUGACCCGCUGUUCCACUGUCAUCCGCGCUGCUCUACAGGCUUUCCAACCAGGAGAGGCCUGUGCACACCGUCACACAUUCUAUCUUGGAAGCUACUGGAGUGACAAUUCCAGGAUUAUCCAGAAAGGCAGAUUUUGGUUAAUUACACAGAACCAUCUUUCAAGAAGUGGAGAUUUCCAAAAGGAUCAGCACUCCUAAGUAAAGGAUUCCCCAAAUAUCGGAAGCAGAAGCAGAUGAAUGACUGGAUGAUGGCUCACCUGAGAUGCAGAAGCAGGGGCAAAUGGAUUGGAUUCAGCUACUUCAAGAUCCUUUCCUUUUCUAAGAGCUCUUUAGUAUUAUGUUGAAGACUAGUAAUGAAGGUGGCACCCUUGUUUCUAUGCAUAAGGAAACUAACAGGUAAUAGAGCCAGACUAGUAGUCAAAAGACCUACCAUCAAGCUCAGUGACCUUGGGUAAGUCAUUUCAUCUUCCUGGCUGUGUUUUUUUCAUCUGUAAAACAUGGGGCCAGAAUUUAAUAACUUUUAAGGCCCCAUACAGCUCUAAUAUUCUGGGGUUUUAUACGACUCUUCUUCAUCAAAUAUUAUGUUGGGUUUUAAAACAUACCCUUU
rnacentral:lncRNA from 1 species